UAACGCGUGGGUAACCUGCCCUAUACACAUGGAUAACAUACUGAAAAGUUUACUAAUACAUGAUAAUAUAUAUUUACGGCAUCGUAGAUAUAUCAAAGUGUUAGCGGUAUAGGAUGGACCCGCGUCUGAUUAGCUAGUUGGUGAGAUAACUGCCCACCAAGGCGACGAUCAGUAGCCGACCUGAGAGGGUGAUCGGCCACAUUGGAACUGAGACACGGUCCAAACUCCUACGGGAGGCAGCAGUC
rnacentral:rRNA from 1 species